GAUCAUGGCUCAGGAUGAACGCUGGCGGCGUGCCUAACACAUGCAAGUCGAACGAAGCAUACGGACUGGAGAUUCGUCGAAGGACUGUAUGACUUAGUGGCGGACGGGUGAGUAAUGUAUGAGCAACCUGCCUUUCAGAGGGGGACAACAGUUGGAAACGACUGCUAAUACCGCGUAACGUAUUGUGAGGGCAUCCUCGUGAUACCAAAGGAGCAAUCCGCUGAAAGAUGGGCUCAUAUCUGAUUAGCUUGUUGGCGGGGUAACGGCCCACCAAGGCGACGAUCAGUAGCCGGACUGAGAGGUUGAACGGCCACAUUGGGACUGAGAUACGGCCCAGACUCCUACGGGAGGCAGCAGUGGGGAAUAUUGGGCAAUGGGCGAAAGCCUCGACCCAGCAACGCCGCGUGAAGGAAGAAGGUCUUCGGAUUGUAAACUUCUUUUAUGAGGGACGAAGGACGUGACGGUACCUCAUGAAUAAGCCACGGCUAACUACGUGCCAGCCGCCGC
rnacentral:rRNA from 1 species